rnacentral:lncRNA from 1 species
CCAAGUGCACCAUAUAGUGAAGAAGGAAGGUGGAAAGAUCUUCUCCAAAUUGCAUAAAGUCAAAGCCGCUCGAUCUUGUACUUUCUCAAGUUCUUUAACAUCCAAAACUUUGCCACAAAUAGCUUUCAUUAUAUUGGAUAGUUUAAUUAUACAGGACGUUACAUUUUUUGACAUACAGCACCGUAAAGAAAUUAAGAGUAAAUCUUGCAUCAAGAUGGUAAUCAUGUGAUUUUAAUGAAUAUAAUCUUCGAUCUUUGAGACUCACACAUCGA